UGGGGAAUAUUGCACAAUGGAGGGAACUCUGAUGCAGCGACGCCGCGUGAACGAAGAAGGCUUUCGAGUCGUAAAGUUCUUUCAUAUGGGAAGAUAAUGACGGUACCAUAAGAAAAAGCCCCGGCUAACUACGUGCCAGCAGCCGCGGUAAUACGUAGGGGGCUAGCGUUGUCCGGAAUCACUGGGCGUAAAGGGUUCGCAGGCGGAAAUGCAAGUCAGGUGUAAAAGGCAGUAGCUUAACUACUGUAAGCAUUUGAGACUGCAUAUCUUGAGAAGAGUAGAGGUAAGUGGAAUUUUUAGUGUGGCGGUGAAAUGCGUAGAUAUUAAAAAGAAUACUGGUGGCGAAGGCGACUUACUGGGCUCAUACUGACGCUGAGGAACGAAAGCGUGGGUAGCAAACAGG
rnacentral:rRNA from 1 species